AACGAACGCUGGCGGCAGGCUUAACACAUGCAAGUCGAACGCCCCGCAAGGGGAGUGGCAGACGGGUGAGUAACGCGUGGGAAUCUACCGUGCCCUGCGGAAUAGCUCCGGGAAACUGGAAUUAAUACGCAUACGCCCUACGGGGGAAAGGAUUUAUCGGGGUACGAUGAGCCCGCGUUGGAUUAGCUAGUUGGUGGGGU
rnacentral:rRNA from 1 species